GGAAAUCGAUAUUUCAGACGCCAUCUUCCAUAAAAAGAAAGAGAUAAUUAGGAAUAGUUUUUUUUUCAAUAAUGGCUUCAGCUGUUGGUAAGACCCCACCAAAACCCCCAGUAGAAGUAAAAGAAGAAACACCAAAUAAACAGAAUCAGAAUGAAAGAAAAUCUGAGGAGAAAGAGAUAAAGAACGAAAAAAAUCAAGGGCCGCAACAACAAGACAACAGAAAUAGAAAUCAAAAUCGUGAAAAUCGAUUUCAGAACAAUGAUAAUAGGUUUCAGAAUCGCAGAGGUGGUAGGAAUCAGAACCAAAGAUUCAAUCAGCGAGGUCCAAAUCAACAAAGAGAUGCUUCUAGAGACGGUCACAGUGGAAAUCCGUUUGAGCCCAUGGGGGAUUUCUAUGGCGAGCAGAACGAAACUCCAAAGGAGCCUAAAAAAUUUACUGGCAGGUGCAGACUGUUUGUGGGGAAUAUCACACCAGAUGUGACUGAAGAACAGUUUAAAGAAAUGUUCACUCCAUUUGGUGAAGUUUCAGAAGUGUUUGUAAAUGCUGCAAGAGGCUUUGGAUUCAUCCGCUUGGAUUUCAGAAUAAAUGCUGAGAGAGCAAAGAUGGAAUUGGAUGGGCAGAUGCGAAAUAACAGAGUACUCAGAGUGAGAUUUGCCACACAUGGAGCUGCUCUUAAAGUAUUCAAUCUGUCUCCAUUUGUAUCAAAUGAACUUCUAGAACAAGCAUUUUCUCAGUUUGGUGAAGUAGAACGUGCAGUUGUAUGUGUAGAUGAUCGAGGCAGAUCCUGCGGGGAAGGAAUAGUGGAGUUUGCUAGAAAACCUGGUGCACAGUCAGCUCUCAAAAGGAUAAAUGAGGGUGUUUUCUUGUUGUCUGCAUAUCCAAGACCAGUACGUGUUGAGAUGCUUGAACAAAGAGAUGAGGAGGACGGUCUCACUGAAAAAUUUGUUCAAAGAAAUGAUGGGUUCAGGAAAGACAGAGAAAAGGAACCAAGGUUUGCUCCGCCCGGAUCAUUCGAGUUUGAAUUUGGCAUGAAACAUAGGCAGAUUGAUGACAUGGAAAAAGAGAGAAAUGAGAGAAUUAAACAAGAAAUGGAAAACGAACGAACAAGACUUGCUGAGGAAAUGGAGACAGCCAUCUUUGAUUACCAGGCAGAUCAAAUCAGACAAGAUUUGAUGAGACAGCAAGAAGAAUUAAAGAGGUUGGAUGAAAUGAAAAAUGAGCACAUGAGACGUAGACAAGAAAUGGACAUGAGGAGAAGAGAGCAACAAAUGCAGGGUGGUAUGGGUGACAAUAUAAUGAGACAGGAGGAAGAACGUAGACGAGAGAUGAUGAUGCGUGCAUCCAGUGCAAUGAGCAGAGACCGUGAAGGAGGCAUGAGCCAGGGACCCCCAGGACAAAAUAGAGGACCUGGUGGUCGACAAGAUGAAAUGAUGAUGAGAGGAGGGCCUGGAGGUCAAGGUGGGCCAGGUGGUAUGAGAGAUAACCAAGGUAACCAAAGAGGUCCUGGCACACCACCCAUGCCCCCACCCCCAGUACCACCUGGUAUGAACAUGGACCAGAACAGGACUGGCGGUGGAAACAUGGACAGAUACGGACAAGGGGGUGUGAGCCCUGGAAUGGACCAACAGAACAUGGACAGACAGCCACCGGGUAUGCCAGGCAACAUGAAAGGAGAACCAAUGGGUUAUCAGACCAACCUUCAAGUUUUGCCAAAAUGGGAAAUCUGUAUACUGCAGUGUUACAACAAGCCAUAUCUUGCGUAUAACAUCUGAGUGAACUGACACAAAAUCAUGACAGGAAAAAUGCUAUGUGGCAGUAUUGUUAUCACAGAAUAACAUUCAGAACUUCUUGAAGGUCUGAGUAAGUAUUCUGGAGUUGGGGACACACAUCUUGCAGAUAUGAAAAACAAGAGAGGAGAGAAAGAUGUUCCUACAAUGAAGUUGUUACUGAGAAGGAAGAUUGUAACAUUGUUUAUGUAAAUAUCAUGAUUGGAAGAUCAUGAUGUUGUUUAUGUAAAUGUCAUGGUUGGAGGAUCAUAACAUUGUUUAUGCAGUUGUCAAGGUUGGAAGAUCAUAACAUUGUUUAUGCAGAUGUCAAGGUUGGAAGAUCAUAACAUUGUUUAUGCAGAUGUCAAGGUUGGAAGAUCAUAACAUUGUUUAUGCAGAUGACAAGGUUGGAAGAUCAUAACAUUGUUUAUGCAGAUGUCAAGGUUGGAAGAUCAUAACAUUGUUUAUGCAGAUGUCAAGGUUGGAAGAUCAUAACAUUGAUUAUGCAGAUGACAAGGUUGGAAGAAGAUCAUAACAUUGUUUAUGCAGAUGUCAAGUUUGGAAGAUCA
rnacentral:misc_RNA from 1 species